rnacentral:rRNA from 1 species
AUGCCGCGUGAGUGAUGAAGGCCUUAGGGUCGUAAAGCUCUUUCGCCAGGGAUGAUAAUGACAGUACCUGGUAAAGAAACCCCGGCUAACUCCGUGCCAGCAGCCGCGGUAAUACGGAGGGGGUUAGCGUUGUUCGGAAUUACUGGGCGUAAAGCGCGCGUAGGCGGAUCAGAAAGUUGGGGGUGAAAUCCCGGGGCUCAACCCCGGAACUGCCUCUAAAACUCCUGGUCUUGAGUUCGAGAGAGGUGAGUGGAAUUCCGAGUGUAGAGGUGAAAUUCGUAGAUAUUCGGAGGAACACCAGUGGCGAAGGCGGCUCACUGGCUCGAUACUGACGCUGAGGUGCGAAAGUGUGGGGAGCAAACAGGAUUAGAUACCCUGGUAGUCCACACCGUAAACGAUGAAUGCCAGUCGUCGGGUAGCAUGCUAUUCGGUGACACACCUAACGGAUUAAGCAUUCCGCCUGGGGAGUACGGUCGCAAGAUUAAAACUCAAG